rnacentral:precursor_RNA from 13 species
ACUCUGACUGAAGAUGUUUUCACUGUGGGAUGAGGUAGUAGGUUGUAUAGUUUUAGGGUCAUACCCACCACUGGGAGAUAACUAUACAAUCUACUGUCUUUCCCAAAGUGGAGAAAAUCAACAGCUGCAUCA